UGUCUUUAUAUUAGUAAGCAUUAGUUGUCAAAAGAUAAGACUUCCACCGCCAAUUCAUGGCCAGGUGGAAGCCAUACCUUUAAUGACCCUUUUGCUUUCAUUUUGGAAAUGCAAAAUAUAUUAUACACACUAUAUUUUGUGUGAAGGAGUUACGAAGGUUCAGCAACUCUUAGUCAAGAAUUCAUUUUGGAAUUAUUAGCAACAGACCAUGUAAGGAUUGUGUUGUCUUGUAAAAUAUACAAAUGGAUGAAGUGGAAAGCUCUACCCGCCCUUCUCUAUUCAUGCAUAAGGAAUGGCCAAGAUCACUAGCAGCAGAUGUUGGGUCACAUUUGUUACCAUUUACCCAAAAUUGGUGGCCAACACCAUGUGUUGUAGGCUUAUGAUAUGGUGUUGAAGUACUACUAGCAUGCUGACAUUGAGUUGUUAUUUUGCAUCUAUUUCCAUGGAUAUUAUGCCAAGCUCACCUCAAAUCGUACAUGAAAUGAUUCAAGCUCAACACGGUAUCCAUAGAUGAAAGACUCAUGUCAUAAAUCUGUUCGUAAUAGGUUGGCUUUUGUAUUUUUUUUCUACUUUGAUCCGCUGUUACGCAGUUAACGGUGUUAGAAGAAUUGUUGAGAGAAUCGUCUCAGGAAUAGAUAAUCAGAUUGACGAACCCUCACAGUAGACGAGGUCUGCGUUCAGCGAAAGAUCGGUAAGACUCCACUUCAUUCGGAGUGCAGCCGAGUCUAUGAGUCAUCGUGUCAGAGUUUAUCUACAGACUUAUGGGUAGGUCGGUAUCCUAUCCCACAUAAUGUUGAAUAAUUUUAGAGGCUUUGUAAACAAAUAUUCAUUUUGUACAGUAUGUGAGAGGUCUUCGACCCAUAUGUAUUCAUGUUUUAAGAAAAAUAGUUCAACAAAAUAGUGUUUUUUUCACUUGCAGUUGUACAUUCCGAGUUGUGGCCAUGUUGGCCCAUGAUAGUUACAAAAUGAAUGAAUGAGUUACAGAGUGGUUCGCUCGGGCCACUACGGUACCGUGUGCCAGCCAUGCCUCCCCAGGUUCGGGGCGUGACACACCAGGUGGCCAAGGCCCGUACAAUCAGAUCCUUCACAAAUGUACCAUAGCUUAGUGUGUGAAUUUCACACCACACACGGUCACAGGACUGAAGAUCGCCGACAACUCUGGGAAGAGGUAGCCCGACUACUCAACAAAGGUCACCUCCGGGAAUUCCUCAGCGACCUAGCAAAAAAUCAGUUCCGGGAAAGAGAAGAGACCAAGAAGAACGAAGCAAAUGAGCCACAACAUGUCACUUAUAUGAUUUUUAAAUGUGUCAGCGCCCUGCAAGAGCCCACAGUCAGGAGAAUAAAAAUAUCCCUUACAAGGAAAAAGCGAAUUCGAGGUAGCUCUUCCAAUAUUAUCAGGUCAAGGGUGAUAGAGCAGCUUGGACUGCCUGACCAAAAUAUGCCCGCCCCUCGAGUGUUCAAC